UACGUAGGGUGCGAGCGUUAAUCGGAAUUACUGGGCGUAAAGUGUGCGCAGGCGGCUGAGCAAGUCGAGUGUGAAAGCCCCGGGCUUAACUUGGGAAUUGCGCUCGAAACUACUUUGCUGGAGUGUGGCAGAGGAAGGUGGAAUUCCACGUGUAGCGGUGAAAUGCGUAGAGAUGUGGAGGAACACCAAUGGCGAAGGCAGCCUUCUGGGCCAACACUGACGCUCAUGCACGAAAGCGUGGGGAGCAAACAGG
rnacentral:rRNA from 1 species